rnacentral:lncRNA from 1 species
GUGCUGGGAUUACAGGCAUGAGCCACCGCUCCCGGCCCGGCAGGCCCCCUAGAAGAUGCCAAUCAAAAUAAACUGCAUUCUUGAGACACAGGGCAAGAAAUUAAAGCUAUCCACCUCCUCAAGGCCCAGGGACUACGUGGAAGAGACAUCGAGUCAUGAAUAUGGAAUGACUUCACCUGACUUCACUUGAAAUUCACUUAAUUUUCAACUCUGUUGGCUAUGAGAAAAGGACAUCCAGGCCUCACACAAAAAUGGAUCAAUGAAUUGAAACUCACCAAAUCACCACCACCAGACAACGGGAUGCUGAGUCUCAUUCAUCAUGAUUGCUUCCUGAAGCCUUCUGAGUUCCUGUUUCCCUACACAUUGUUACAUUUCUUCCCUGCAACAUAAACCCCCAAUUUUAGUCCAUCAAGGUUAUAGAUUUGAGACUGAUCUCCCAUUUCCUUGGCUGCAACACCCAAUUAUAGCCUUCUUGGCAAUAAUUGUUGUCUCAGUGAUUGGCUUUCUUUGUGGCCAGCAGCAGGACCUAGACUGAACACCUGAUUUUCUGGUAACAGUAUAAUUUUUCUUCUUUUGUCUAUUGUGGUAGGUUACAUUGUUUGAUUUUUAAAUUAAACUGGCACUGCAUAGCUAGAGUAAAUGUGACUUUGUUGUGUUAAUUUUUAUAUGUUGUUGAAUUUGAUUUUCUUGUGUUAUGUUGAGAAUUUUACAUAUAUCUUUAUAAGAGAUAUUUGCUCGUAAUUAUCUUUUUGUAAAAUAUCUCUGUUUUUGCUAUGAAGGUUAUAAAAGUAAUUUUGGGAGUGCUCCCUAUUUUCUAUUAGAGAAUGAGGGAACUGGUACCAAUACUACCUUAAAUGUUCAAUAGAAUUCACAUUCGAAAUUAUCUAGGACUGGUUAUCUUUUGAGAAAAGUUGUUAAACAUUAUUCAGUGUCUUUAAUAGAUAUAGGCCUGUUCAGUUUAUCUAUUUCUCCCCAUGUGAUCAAUGGAAAUUUGUGUCUUUCACGUGAUUUUUCUAUUUCUUCUAAGUCAUCAACUUGUUGAUAUAAAGUUAUUCACAAUAUUCUUAUCCCUUCAAUGUUCAAAGAUUGUUAUUAAUAUUCAUGAAACUGGUAGUACUGAUCUUGCUUUCUUUUUUGAUAUUGUAUUGCACAUCUUUUCUCUUUUCAUGUUCAUUAAUUUGUGUGGAGGUUUAUCAAUUGUAUUCAUUUUAUUAAAGGACAAGUUUCUGG